UACGAAGGGGGCUAGCGUUGCUCGGAAUCACUGGGCGUAAAGCGCGCGUAGGCGGCCCGGUAAGUCCGCUGUAAAAGUCAAAGGCUCAACCUUUGAAUGUCAGUGGAUACUGCCGGGCUAGAGUCCGGAAGAGGCGAGUGGAACUCCUGGUGUAGCGGUGGAAUGCGCAGAUAUCAGGAAGAACACCGACGGCGAAGGCAGCUCGCUGGGACGGUACUGACGCUGAGGCGCGGAAGCGUGGGGAGCGAACAGG
rnacentral:rRNA from 1 species